rnacentral:rRNA from 1 species
CCUACGGGUGGCUGCAGUAAGGAAUAUUGGACAAUGGGGGAAACCCUGAUCCAGCCAUGCCGCGUGAAUGAAGAAGGCCUUAGGGUUGUAAAGUUCUUUUAGGGGUGACGAUAAUGACGGUAGCCCCAGAAAAAGCUCCGGCUAACUCCGUGCCAGCAGCCGCGGUAAUACGGAGGGAGCGAGCGUUGUUCGGAAUUACUGGGCGUAAAGCGUGCGCAGGCGGAUUUCCAAGUCAGGAGUGAAAUCCCCGGGCUUAACCCGGGAAUUGCUUUUGA